ACCAAGGUCAAAAGAUUCAAAUUUGAUGCAAGCUUGCUUGCAUCAAAUUUGAAUCUUGGGACCCCAACACAUGAAUAAAUAGCCAUUUUUCAUAGAAAAAUGAGCGGUUUAUGAAUGUGUUGAGGAUUGUGGGAGCACGUAGUGCGGAACAAUCUGGU
rnacentral:sRNA from 1 species